AUCCAACUGACGAGUCCCAAAUAGGACGAAACGCGCUUCAAACUGUAU
rfam:Schistosoma rodhaini strain Burundi genome assembly, scaffold: SROB_scaffold0015110